GAUGAACGCUAGCGGUAGGCUUAACACAUGCAAGUCGAGGGGAAGCAUGGGCUUAGCUUGCUAAGACUGAUAGCGACCGGCGCACGAGUGCGUAACGCGUAUGCUACUUGCCUCACAGAGGGGGAUAACCCGUCGCAAGACGGACUACUACCGCGUACUCUCAAUCUUUGGCUUCAAAGGGAAAGGAAAUCAAAUUCGCUCUGAGAUAGGCAUGCGUCCCAUUAGCUCGUUGGUGAGGUAAAGCCUCACCAAGGCGACGAUGGGGAUGGGAACUGAGAGGGGGAACCCCCACACUGGUACUGAGACACGGACCAGUAUCCUAGGGGAGGCAGGAGAGAGGAAUAUUGGGCGAUGGGCGAGGGCCGGACCCAGCCAAGUCGCGUGAAGGAUGACUGUCUUAGGGAUUGUAAACUUCUUUGAUACGAGAUAAACAAGAGUCACGUGUGACUCCUUGAAUGUACCGUAUGAAUAAGCAUCGGCUAACUCCGUG
rnacentral:rRNA from 1 species